GGAGGCAUAGGAAAACUUUGAAGAAUCUUCCAGAUUUGCCUAACAGAGAUGACCUGACAAGAUAGAUGUGCCAUUUGGACCCUUUCAAGAGCAGACAGAAGGGAAAGGAGCUUGUCCCACUGGAAGGUCUUCAGAGGCAAUGUGUAUGCAGACUGUCAUCUCCUGUGAUAAUAAUGCUUUCUUCAAGAAUACCUCCUGAAAGGCCUGCCCGAAGCUGUUUUACAGGCUGGAGUGCAAUGGUGCGAUCUCGGCUCCUGCAACCUGCGCCUCCUGAGUUCAAGUGAUUCUCCUGCCUCAGCCUCCCAAGUUGCUGGGAUUACAGGGGCCCACCACCACGCCCAGCUAAUUUUUGUUAUUUUCAGUAGAGACGGGGUUUCAUCAUGUUGGCCAGGCUGGUCUUGAACUCCUGACCUCAGGUGAUCCGCCCACCUCAGCUCCCAAAGUGCUGGGAUUACAGGUGUGAGCCACCGUACCUGGCUGAGGACUGAGAUUUUCUAUUUCUUAUUGUGUCAGUUAGGUUGUAUUUUUCUGUGAAUCUGUUCAUUUCACCAAAUUUUCAAGUCUGUUGGCCUAAAGUUUUUGAUAAUAUAAUCUUAUUUUGUGGUGAAGUCCCUUUUUUAUUUCUUGUAUUUGUUAUUUGUGCCUUAUUUUCUUUUUUUUUUUUCCUUUGGUUUUUUUUUAUGAGAUAGAGUUUCCCUCUUGUUGCCCAAGCUGGAGUGCAAUGGCGCGAUCUCAGCUCACUGCAACCUCUGCCUCCCGGGUUCAAGUGAUUCUCCUGCCUCAGCCUCCUGAGUAGCUGGGAUUAUAGGCACACGCCACCACGCACAGCUAAUUUUUUGUAUUUUUAGUAGAAAUGGGGUUUCACCAUGUUAGCCAGGCUGGUGCCAAACUCCUGAUCUCAGGUGAUCCGCCCGCAUCAGCCUCCCAAAGUGCUGGGAUUACAGGCGUGAGCCACCACGCCCAGCCUUUUCCUUUUCUGUUUUCUUUUUCUUUUCACAGAUGCCUUUUGUGAAAACUGUCAAAUCGUUUCCUUUUAAUCAUUCUAUUAGGGGUUAAUCAAUUUUAUUAGUGGUUUCAGUUUUGGCUUUGUUGAUUCUCUCUGUUGUGUGUUUGUUUUUAUACUUAUUAUACAUUGAAAUCAUUUCCUCCUAUCUACUUUAUUAUAUAUUUAAAUCAUUUCCUCCUGUCUACUUUUGUUGGGUUUCUUUAGUUGUUCUUUUCCUGACAUCUUAAAAUGAAUGUGCUUAGCUCAUUAUAUUUUAAGCCUUUCUUCUUCCCUAAAAUAUGCAAUUAAGGCUAUAAAUUUCCCUCCAAGCACUGCGUUAGCUUUACGUCAUAAGUUUUGUUGUAUUUUGUUUUUCAUUACAUAUAGUAUAGUUCAAAGUAAUUUCAAAUUUCCAUUUUUAUUUGUUCUGAAACCCAUGCAUUAUUUAGAAGUAUAUUUUAGAAGCAUGUUACUCGAAAGUAUAGUUUUCAAAGAUACAGGGACUUUUUAAUAUUUUUGUUAUCGAUUCUUAAACUAUUUGCAAUAUGUUAGGAUGACAUUAUCUGCUUUAUUUUAAUCCUUUGAAAUGUGUUGAAACUUGCAUUUUGGCCCAGCAGAUCAUCAUAUUUUAAAAUGGAUGAUAUCUUCUUGAAAAUAACAUAUUUUGCACUUGUUGAGUGCACAGUUCUCCAUAUGUUCAUACAACAAGAUUGUUCAUUAUGAUGUCUCAAAUCUUCUACAGUGUUAUUGAUUUAUUGUCUGCCUGUUCCAUUGACUACUGAAAAAGCUGUGUCAAACAUCCCACUAUGAAUAUGGACUUGUCUAUUUCUCCAUAUAAUUCUGUUCACAUUGCUGUAUGUAUCAUGUAAUUAGGUACAUACAAAUUUAGAAUAAUCUUUUAUUAUUAUAGGGUGACCCUCCUUAAUUCUAGAGAUGCUUUUUUU